UUGGAAACCAACUUCAAACCAUUUGUUAAUCCAUUUCAUGUCAUUUUAAACCAUUACAUGUGAUUCUACAUAAGAAAAUACAAAAAUUGACAUUUUUUACCAAUUGUGGACUUUGGUAACAGUUGACUUUUUGGUCGACUUUGACCAAAGUCAACCCAAGACCCUAAUACCCUAAAUUUCAUAAUGAUCAUCAAUUCAAUGUCCAUUUGCAAUAAAAAUACAAAAAAAAAAGAAUAUUUGACCAAUUGUUGACUUUGGUCAACAAUGGACUUUUGGUCAACUUUGACCAAAGUCAAC
rnacentral:lncRNA from 1 species